rnacentral:lncRNA from 1 species
UAGUUUAAAUGUUGCUGUGCGCAGUGUGGUGCAGCCGACCUUUAGCACUCUUCUUAGACAGCAGAGACUCUCUCCUACUUCCCUACUGCCCUCACUAGUCACUAUUCUGGUCUCCGAGGCUGCUAGUCUGACCACCAGCCUUGUGUUUUCAUUUAUACCCAGUGCCUGGUCUGCUGUGCAUUUGUUUGCUCUGUCGUUUUGGAACUGACCUGCUUAAAUAGAGACCAUGCCUUCUGUUUGGCUGAAGAAUUGCUCUGUAGUUGAUCUGAAGGGCAGUGGAGGGCUUAGCAGCUGUAGAAAACAAGUAUUAACGUGUUUGAAGGACCAUAUCAGCUUGCCUCUGGUCCGAGGAGAUGCAUUGGUAGCGAGUCAGUGUGUUCUUAACUGUUUGUGAUCAGAAGAGUCAAGAGCUCUGAUUUCUUUGUCAGCCCUCAGCCUGCCCUAUGGCACCGCCACUUACUGACUGGAUCACUCAAGGGCGAGCCUCAAGGGCCUGUGUUUCUCCAGUAAUAAUAUAAAACCGGCUGGUGUCGCCACCUCAGCUCACUGUGCUGAACUGUGAGUGAUUAAAGUCCCAGGGCUGUGUUAAUAAGGAUUCUUUCCGAGAGCAGCACUCUAUCUCCUCACUGUUUUCUGAAAACAGAGAUGGAAAAUUGUGCUGAUGAAUUUUCGCCCGCCCGUCAGCGUGAACAUUCUGCUUUUUUUAUUUGCUUGAAGGAUCUGAGCUGAGCAGCGGGCACACGUGCAAACCUUACAGUGUCUGCGGAUGCCAGCCGGUCCUCAUGCCAGUCGUGGUGUUUAGGUAAUAGUGUGCCGUUGUUGUUGUUGUUGAAUCAGCAGCUAAUACACUGCAGGCAGUUUUGGUUUGAGUCACAUUGUUGCUGGUAACACUAUUAAUGAGACAGUGAUUGGGAAAUAGCAGCCAUUGUUCUCAUAAAACACCAUCCUCCUGUGGCAGGCACAGGCGAGGCGGGCAGAGGAACCGCAUACGCAGGCAGGAGGAUUGGGCGAGGGCCACUGUUGCCAGCUUUUAAAUUCAGCAGACCCCUGCUGCUUAAAUUGUCCCAGCUGUUAAUGCUGGAGCCAUUACAGUAAUGGACUGAGCAAAUGAAGGAGAGCGAAGACACGCACACUUUAUUACCAGAGGGGCCAUUUCUCCUCAUCUGUAAUAGCAGCAGUGCUUCAUAUUGAUCAGACCAUCAAGAUACUAAUCCUCUGUAAAAUUACUUGUUAUAACUGAAAAUGUGUUAAUCCCAAUCAGUCUGUGUCCUGACUGUCUACUUACUAUUGAAUACAGACUGUUGGAUGGUUUAUUUUUCAUGAUUUAAAGCCUUUGCCUUGAAAAUAGCUGGUGCCGCCCUCGCAGCCCUGAGUGCUCGAUCUAAGCUGUAGCCCUGGGUUGUCUUUUUGUUUUAAGCAGAACAUCACCCACUUAAUUAAGGAGUGAGUGUCUGUCUGGCCAUCUGAGUUAUGCUGUGUUUUAUGGUCCUCUGGAUUUAUUAAGCAUCUUGUUUUACAUUCAGUCUGUGGUUUGUGCUGUAAAUAAAAACAGAGCCAUCUUGCACAUAUUAAAUGUGCAGGUACCAAAUGUCAAUAAGUACCGGGGUGGGAAGCUCUUUGAUUUAUAGUUCAGCGCCAGGUUGUGCUCUGGCGAUUGACCGCAUAGGCAGGAAGCAUUCGCUGUCUUCUGCUUAGCAGAUGUGAAUUUUGCAUUGUUAUCUGAGGAAGUUUCUAGUGAUUUCUGCAUCCUUGGUUUAGGAGAUUGCUUUUUUAGACAACGAGGCCUUUUGACUACUGUACCUCCCCACCCCUGGUUUGUGAGAAAUGACGUUUGCUAGGAAUUAGAAGAUCUGCUAAAAAACUGCUGAAAAUUUAUAGCUUCCUUAAUAUUUAGGAAUUUGGAAAUUAUUCCACAAAGUUUCCAUUUUUUACUAUAAUCUCUUUCCACAUGCCUUAUAUGCAUGCUUGUUUAUAGAUUCAGAUAGUUUCUUGGCAAUAUACAUUUUUUACUAUGAUGUCAUCACUCAAGGCAUUUGUGUGGCAUUUUUCUGUUUGAGUAUUUUCAGUGAUAACCUAAUUAGUCCUCUUUGUGAGCCAGGCCGUGUGUUAGGGUCUGGAGAAUCAAGGACAGAUGAAGUGUAACCUUUGCCACUGAUGACAUCAGUGCUGUUGAAGCUAUGCGUGUAAGCAGAUAAUGACUGCAGGGCCAUGGUAAACAGUGGAACCCACCACGAGUGCAGGGCUUGGGACUGAGCAAAGGCCAAGGCGCCUGCGGGGGUUGCUGCUGUGUCACAGAACACAGCUGCUGUUUGUAUAAUUAUCCUAAGCCUUGUUUAAGAAUGACUUCUAGCUGUGUGGAAGAAUUUUCCGAGGAGACAUGUAUACUGUGCUCUGGGGACAGUGAAAGGAAGGGUUUUCUGAAAUCGUUUUGAUCAGUGGCCACACCUUUGGUUAUGUAUAUUAUUUCACUAGCAGACUGCUUUAAAGGAACCGAGUGCUUAUCUUACUGCUUGUGCCCUGGACUUUGCAUUAGAAAUCAGUUCUGCUGUUCAUCUGAAGAGGCUGUAGCCUGUGGUAGUUGAGAGCACAAAUCCACAGAUUUUUGGAUCUAGGCUGCUUUGUUGUGUCCCCCACUGGCCCCCUUGCUACUUGCCAGGUGACUGAUGGUUUGCAAGUCACAUGAUCAUUGAGCAUCACUCAUCAUCUCUGCAGUGGGGCUGGUAAUCGUGGUGGAGAUCAGGGGGUUUGACGUAUGUAAGGCAUUUAGGACAGUGGUGGCUGCCACUGCCUUCCGAGGGACUGUGAUGAGAUCAGUUUGCCCGUGUGAAUUAUGAAAGUUGGAUCUGUAAAUGUUAUAACCAUACUGUGUGUGGUGUAAGAUGGUGAAACGUUCAUUACUUAAUAUAUUUUUUUUCCUGAUUACAGUAAUGAUUUGGAAAAACUGAAAGAGGACUUUUUAAAAAUUUUUUUUUGAAUAAAAGUAGUCCCCUAGAGAUGAGCACUGGGAUUUUUUGUUUUCGUUUUGUUUACAUUAUUGUAUAGUGUUUAUUAUGUACAAUGCACAUAGUAUGAUCCUCACACCACUUAAAACAUAUUUACAAUUUAAAAAUUUAUAUAUUUUAAAAACUCAGGUUGUACUUAUGGUCUUCACUUGCGACAACAUUUUGAACAAAAGUUGGAGUCAUGUAUGUAUUUUGUACCCUGUUUUUCUCACCAAUAUCCAAUGUAUUGUGAAUAUUUUCGUAUCAUUGUAGUGAUACAUAAUGUCUUCGUGUGCAGUCUUUCCCUCUGUUACAGUUCGUUGUUUAGUGAACACUUACACAUAAAUCCCUGCACAUCUGUGGAGUUUCUCCUAGGGCGAACGAAGGGAAAGAACGUGACCUUUGUGGGUUGGCCUUUGUCAAGAACUCGGGACACUACUUGAUGCCGGGGAGGGGAUGCCAGUUUCUUAUUU